rnacentral:snRNA from 1 species
GUGCUCAUUUCAGCAGCACAUAUACUAAAAUUGGAACAAUACAGAGAAGAUUAGCACGGCCUGUGCGCAAGGAUGACAUGCAAAUUCAUGAAGUGUUCCAUAUUUAA